rnacentral:ncRNA from 1 species
UACGUCGACACGGGGUGCCCUUAGGGGCUGAGAAAUUACCCGUAUUACCUGAUCUGGAUUAUGCCAGCGUAGGGAUGUCGCGGUAUCUCAAC